CUGAGGAGUAGGGCAGGGGUCAUUGUCCCAACAGCUGGGAAACAGAAUCCAGAGUGGUUCAUUCAUAUAAAGAGAGACAGGGAUACCCCGGGAGCAGAACCAGGAAUGCGACAGCCCAGGAGAGCACCAGGAGGGUCUCCGUCCAAUUCCCGUGAGUCCAAGGGCUCUUCAAUUUUCCAUCCUGGAAGAUCUUCAAGACACGCAGGAACCCUCCCUGUUUACCAAACUGCUAAGGCUUCUUCAGAGUGUAAAAAAAAUCCCCAUCUCUGCCAAACCCUGAAGUUGCCUCAACACUUUCAAGAAGACCCAUUGUGGUCUUGCUGGAGUGUGGAAUUCAGGAUCGAGAUGCAAAAUUAUCAUGUAAGUGACACUCCCUUACCGGAAAACAGAAUCCCUAUGGACCUUAACCUUCUAAGCCUGUCUCACUCUUAGGUUAAGAAACUGACACUCAGACAUAAUCCACACCUUUUCCAUUCUUUCCAGAAAACAGUCUUUCCUGGCCUUAGUACAGUCCUACUGCUCAUUUUACCUUUUUCUGAGUAAUUAACAGAUAACCCUAAAGCUGUACCUUUUCUCUUGGUCCAGCAUCCUGGAAACAGAAUACGCCUCGUAUUUCAAAGGUCUGCAAUUUUCCCGAGUUUUUCCAUCAGUCAGAGCUACUAAUGUUUUACUCUUUCUUUUCUAGGAGCAUUUUUACUCUCUCUCUCUAACCCAUCCUAAGUGAAAACUAUGGCUUUCCAAUAUAAGUAGGGUUUGAAAAUGCAAUCAAAUAUCCAGUAUCAACAGCUGG